rnacentral:rRNA from 1 species
UACGUAGGGUGCAAGCGUUGUCCGGAAUUAUUGGGCGUAAAGGGCUCGUAGGCGGUCCAUCACGUCGGGAGUGAAAAGCUGGGGCUUAACCCCAGUCCUGCUUCCGAUACGGGUGGACUAGAGGUAGGUAGGGGAGAACGGAAUUCCUGGUGUAGCGGUGAAAUGCGCAGAUAUCAGGAGGAACACCGGUGGCGAAGGCGGGUCUCUGGGCAGUAACUGACGCUGAGGAGCGAAAGCGUGGGGAGCGAACAGG